UACGUAGGGUGCAAGCGUUGUCCGGAAUUAUUGGGCGUAAAGAGCUCGUAGGCGGUUUGUUGCGUCGGCUGUGAAAUCCCGAGGCUCAACCUCGGGUCUGCAGUCGAUACGAGCAAACUAGAGUGUUGCAGGGGAGCGUGGAAUUCCUGGUGUAGCGGUGAAAUGCGCAGAUAUCAGGAGGAACACCAGCGGCGAAGGCGGCGCUCUGGGCCGGUACUGACACUGAGGAGCGAAAGCGUGGGUAGCAAACAGG
rnacentral:rRNA from 1 species